GUGAAUACAAACGCCUGGGUGUCUCUGCUUCGGCAAGCCCCUCGCACCCUUCACAUCCAUAACACCUGUGCACCGUAAGAUGACUCUAGGGCUUUGGCCUCUGGGUUGUCUGACCUUUUUCACAAACAAUUAUAUGUAACAAAUGUAGUCUUAUUAUAACAAAAUA
rnacentral:misc_RNA from 1 species